rnacentral:rRNA from 1 species
GACGAACGCUGGCGGCGUGCUUAACACAUGCAAGUCGAGCGGUAAGGCCCUUUCGGGGGUACGACGAGCGGCGAACGGGUGAGUAACACGUGGGUGACCUGCCCUCAGCUCUGGGAUAAGCCUGGGAAACCGGGUCUAAUACCGGAUAUGACUCCAUGACGCAUGUUGUGGGGUGGAAAGCCUUGUGCGGCUGAGGAUGGGCCCGCGGCCUAUCAGCUUGUUGGUGGGGGNGA